GCCUAUGUGUCGAGAUGCUCUGAAAUAGUUGCCCCUCAAUGGCUGAACGCGGUUGGUUCUCCGCUCAGAGCGGAGAAGGAUGGAAUGAGCAGAAAAAAUAAGGAAAAGGGAUCUCUUCAACUCUCCCCCCGUAGGCUCUCCGGUCUAAAACCUCCGCAGCAGGAGCGCAGGGAAGGACAAUGGCACCAAGGUGAUCUUCAUCGGAUAAAUGGAAAUUGGAGUUAUACCAGAGAGUCUGAAGUUUGCAGGAAUUAAUUCGACUCGUUCAACCACGUCAAUCUUGGGAGUGACGAGGAGGCAUUGCUUUGAUUUCAUUGGUCUACUGGAGCCGGGGAGGCUUGCCCGUCCCGUGGAUACGCCAUCCGGUUGGAGCGCGCCACCUCCGUCAAUGUUUUGCAUAGGGGAAGUGACAGAGGAGAAGCUUUCCAUCCAACGCGCUGUGGGGAUUUAUUAACUUCAGAGAUCUAAAAGAAUGCUUUUUAUCUUGCAAGUAAAAUAGCUCUUAACUACCUCUCCACCGCCCUACACUUGAAGGUCAGUGUUAGGAAUGUGUUGAACAACGUAUGCAUGCAGUUCCAAUUUAACCGAUGAUAAGACGUUGGUUGAGAAUAGCAAAUUACCCUAUUAUAAUGUGCAUGCGAUGAAAAGCCGUUAGUGUUUUGCUUUGUACAAUGGGUCACGACUAACACAUUACAUACAACUGUAACACAAUUUUUUUUCAGAUGGCCUAUUACUGCAUUAAUUCGUUGAGUCUCCUCGUCAAUUAUAUUGCACACGCAGGCCAAGUAAUUCCCGAGAAAGGCUUCAUCUCAACAUCAUUUGGUGUAAUUAAUAAUGCAGCAUUUCUAAUGCUUUUGGUAGACGGUCUUUAUUUACAAUAGGUCGUGUAAUGCAUUUCUACUGAAAGAGACUCGCUUACUGUCUUCCUUUUUUAAAUGCACCCAUAGGCCUACAUCAAUCAUGGAAAAGGGGCGCAUGUAAUCGAUACCUCUAUAUCGCCGAGCUCCCAGACCAUACGGGAUAUCGAAUAAAUUCCACAGGUGCAGCCAGGUCGCUGUCUCCUCUCCCCUGGCCGGCUCUGGACAGGCAGACUCACGGCACAUGGAAAGCAUCAGCCUGGGUCCGAGCAGGGGAUGCACAGCCUGGAUGAAGACGAAGGGUUUAAAACAGAGAAACCAAACUACCCUCAGCUGGACGACAAAGGAACUACACGGGCUAAUCGAGUCUGGUCAUUAUUGCGCAUGGCCCAGUGAUAAAUGGACUAUUCUCAUGGUGGCAGAGUUAUUUUUUAUUGAAAAAAAUAUUAGUCCUUGGUUUUACCGCACAUUUGUAUGAAAAUAGUAAAUCUGCCCAUUACAUGUUUCAGAUGCUUAUAAGCAUGCCGAUUGCGUCACGUUUAACUUAAAGGCUAUACUUCUCUUUUUGGAAAAUCAACAUUGAUGUUAUUGUUCUAAUUGCAAUUAUACUAUUUUAUCUCUUUCAUUUUAUUUUUGUUUUUGUUUUAAAUGCGUUCUCGUUUUUUAACAUGCAGAAUGAGAAUUGCAUACAAUUAACGUGUAGACCUAUUGGCAAAUAUCCCCUUAAGCCUAUAAAUAAUAAAAGUAAGGGAAAGAAUAUAUAUUUAUAAAUACUAUCGGCUAUUGUUGAUUGCAUUUCUAUUUUUAAUAAUAAAUGUUUUACUUUUUCAUUGCGAUUUAGGCUAUCACAUUUUUUGAUUUAUUAAAACCUUUAUGGAAAUACCCAUAACAUUAUUUGGCAUUUGUAUAAUUAUUAUUUUAAGCUAUAUACCAUUCGAAUCAGCGCAAACGACAAUGUAUAGCCCUAUAGUCCUGCAAGUAAUUAUCGUAGACUAUACAUUUAAUUUGGAAAAGCGGUUUAUUUAUUAUUCAUUAAUGUAGGGUAUUAUAACUGCCAUAAGUUCAUCCCAUUAUGUUCCAGCUAUUGGAUAACAUUUAUAUUGUUUCAGUAUGCCUGUAUAUGACAGUGAUAUGUCUAAUUGUGGUUCUAAAGUCUAUUCGAAUUGGAUACAAUUGUGGAUAUGCAAUUGACCCAAUCAUUAUAAUGUCGUUUCAUCUUACAAGCGAGCGAUAUAUGUCAAAUGUCUCGUUUCACUAACAUAAACUCAUCAUUUUUUCUUUCACUGCAUUAUUUAUAUUCUGCUAGUUAAUUUACGACGGUGUUCAAAAAAUAUUUAAAUGAUAGUGAAAAAAGAAAAUUCCAAAACAAAUAUAUAAUUUAAGUAAUUGUGCAUAUUUUUUACACGCAUGUUUAUCAAGCAUAAUUAUUUUUCUUCCUAUAUGGUGGAACAGUAGUCUAAACUAAUUUGCUUAAUUCUCAUUCGAUUGAUGUUGGCAAUGUGCAGCGACCCUUCACGGUAAAUAUUGAUGUUGGUGUUGAGUGUCAUCAAGGGAACCGGCUCCUAAAACGAGUUUGUUCGUUCACAUUUCUGAAAUAUGCUUCAAAGCAUCUAAUUUCCCUGCAUUCAUGUUUAGUGUUCUGAUAAGAAAUGUGUAUUUUAAAUUCAAACCAUAAACUAUCCUUUUAAGCACAAACUUGAUCUAUUAAUAUCUUCAGAUGUGCUUGAAAUGUUUCACCGGAACAGUCAGUCUUGUUUUGUUGAAUAGUGAUGAACCUGAACCGAAUGAACCUGUUGUGAAUAAUCGUUUUGUGAGUUCUAUCGUUACUUGCAUGGAAGUACUUAGACGUUGGCCAGCAAAUGCAUUUAGUAGUACAGAAACAACUGAGAGGGAUGGGCAGUCUAUACUUGUAAGAAUGACAUACUAAUGAUAAUAGUGUACAUAACUACUACAUAAUAGUGCAGUUAUUUCUAGCAAACAAGCGAAAUCUGAGUUUUGGUGGCCAUAUUGUUAUUGAGGAAUCUGUCUCUGCUAGGCUACAUUAUUUUGAACUUUCGCAAUUACAUUUUUUCUUUACUGUGACAUGCAGUAUUUAUGACCACUAUGCUGCCCCCCAUUUACAUAAUCACACUUGGCCAAUGUUGAAAAUCAAUAUAGUAAACCUCGGAUGGAUUUCUAAUUUUUUUAUUGAAGGGGAUUUAUAACCUUGUAUUUCACUUGAGGAGCCCAGCCCUCUCAAACACAAACACACACACACACACACACACACACACACACACACACACACACACACACACACACACACACACACACACACACACACACACACACACACACACACACACACCUGCACAUUAUCCACAAAUACUUUCCUGCAAACUAUCUACACAUACACAUUCACUCACCUGCACACUAUCCCCUCACACACCCAACGCGCACACACACGCACACGCACACGCACACGCACACACAACCACUGUCACCCACUUCCUCAUUUGUUUCAGUAGAACAACAACAAAAAGAAAAAGUGUGUAGGUUAUUUGUGCAAAACGAUAGUUGGAUCCCUUAACAGUAGUCAUAUUAGACGGAGCCGUCUUGGACCGUAACAAGCGUGCGGGCUUUUUAUGGUCAGGAGAGCCGUUCUGGGCUUCAGAAGGCUCCUAAUGAGCGCGUGCAGCAGCCAUUCCCCGUGAUACGUGCCAGCGUUUACCAGGCCGGGUAAUUGCUUGUGACCUUUUACCGGGCAGGUUCCUUACACAGAGACUUGUAAUUGUGACACGUGGCGGCAGAGCCCAUUGUGCAGCGGCAGAGGUUAUGCAAACGUUCCUUUUUACUUUGGAUAUAUAGGGAGAGAGAGGGAGAGAGAGGGAGAGAGCGAGAGAGAGCAAUGUACAACAGAGAGACAGAGUAGGCCUACAAGAGAAAGAGACAGGAUAGUCUCUUUCAGUCUCACCUGUUAGCUCAUAGUGGUGUCGUUUUACAUUUGGACACUUGGGCGGACCUUCGGUGGUAAAUAAGUCCAUAAUUCCGUGAAAAGGCUAUUCUUACUGCUGCCUCGAUGAAUGAUGAAAACCAAGACCUGCACACGCCAGUGGACAAACUAAACGUUUUUUUUUUAUAAAUAUUUAUUUUCAAAAGGUAAAGGAACGGUCAAAAGGAAAAAAUGAUAAUGAUUACAUUUUUCUGUCUGCUCAUUGAACUUUUUUCAGUUUCCAGUUUGGACGUCAUAAAACCUCCCUUUUAUCGAUUAUUUUAAUCAUCUGUGAUUAUCCUAUGUUUUGGUGUGAGAGCCUAUCUGCAAAACUCAAUCCAGAAAUAUACCCAUUGCACGUCUCAGUAUGAGAACAGAAUGCUCCUUAUAAAGUAAUAUGCAAUAAAGUGUGUGUAACAAGCAUGUUUUUUCUUUUAUGAACUGACUCAAUGCCCCUGGAGACACAUAAGUCCUAAAUCACUCCCGGGCUCCAUCCAAAUGUUGCGCAGCACACUAGCCCUCAUGGACGCCGUCACUCCCUCCACCUGGCUGCUUUUGUUGUUGUAUGCAACACAUAGCAUCAUGUCUUGUUAAAUGUACUUUUUCUCCUGCCGUUGCAAUCUGACAAAAAAAACAAUGGUUUGAUUGACAACAAACCAGUGUUGAUUGUGUUUGUAAUGUGUUCAACGGUCAGGAGCUUACAAAAGGGAAACAAUCUUAUGAACUCAUCAUCUUUCUCGUGUCUACCAUAGCAGGCCCCUGGAUGAGAGUUAUCACAUCUCAUUCUGAUGAAUACAAUACAACUGUUGAAACUGUAGAAAUAUGUAAAUUAUCCCAUUGCAGUGCAACCCUUCAUGCCAUAGAGGUCAUGGAAGCUUGUAGUGUAUGAAUGUCAGGUUGAAGAGCCCCUUAUGUUGUUUAUUAUCUGAGCAUAACACUGAUAUUCCCUGACACAAACACUGCAAAUGUUUAUCAAAUUGGAUUUAUUGGAAUAUGUUGCUCAGUUACAUGUCACAUUACACAGCAAAAUCGGUCUCAAGAUAUUGAUGGGAAAUGUUUUUUAAAUAUAAUUAACUGACUAAACGACGAUUGUCAAACGUUCCUUGGCUGAAUUCAGAAGAGACGCAUUCUGCUGUCUUUCCAUUUCUAAUUGCUGUGUGAGUUAUAAGUCCCGGCAGAGAAAGUCUCCCCACUCCAUAUGAAUCACAGUGUGAUGUAUUGGCUUUGUUCUUAUCACGUCGACACGGUAAUGAGAACCUUCCUCUGAGGAAAAUGAAGGUCUGAGCUGUGCACUGUGGGCCACUGUGGCCAUAUCAGUUCUUAAUGGUCAAGAUAACUCAGUACCAAGUGUUGGAGAUAAGCCCGUACACAUGCUAAGCAUCCCAUAUUGCCUUGAGCCACAGAAGAUACGGGUCAAGGUGCACUCGCCCAUGCCUGUAUUUCAAAGCUUUAAUCCAUUCAAUCCCAAGAAAUUAUGUGAAUUUGAGGUAUCUGUUAUGCGGUGGAAAAUAUGAUGCUCUGAAACCUUGUAUAUGAAUUGAUGGCCUAUCGUGCUCUUAUCAGGAUAGAAAUAGACUCCGUCGAUAAGAUUAAUGUGUUAGGCAUAUUUUUAAACCAUUUGUAUAAAGACAUUGAGAAAGACUCAAAUCUUGAUCCACUUCUUGCUGACAUCGUUUUUCAUGUUUGCUGUUAACACAAGUUAAGUUGAAAUGAUUUAUGUCUGAAACAAUGAUACACCAACGCAAACUGUGUUAGACAAUGGGGGUCAUUGGAUGUCACUGGCUUAUUUGUUUAUAUCAACUCACCUGAUGGGGGAAAGAAGGCAUCAAUCCAAGUUCCCUGCCUGCCCUGCACUCUUAGUUUUGCAACAGUGUCAGCCGGUGGGAAAAGACCGCCCUCUAUGGUCACUAGCAGGUUAUUUUUUAAGGUUAAAAAAAAUAGAUUAUCACGUGAGGUGGUCUUCAGGCAGACAAUCCAACAUUGAAGCCCACCCACUGGUCUUUUAUGCAACAGUUUUUUAAAUACAAAAAGAUUUUUUUGAUUGGGCACAUUACAAUAAUUGACAACUGAAAAUUAAAUAACAUUUCUGAGGCAUAUAUAUCAUAGAGUUAUAUGUUUGGCAAACUUUACAUACAAAGUAGGCAGCAAUAAAGUUCCUUGAAAUACACACAUCUGUAAGUUAUAGCUGUUCCACUAAGCAGCAAUUUUAGAGUGGCAGGACAAGCUUGAGAAAGCUUUUUUAUCCAAUGUGUGUUUUUCCUAUAUGCCUGUUUACAUGAUCUGGAUGCUUAUCCAAAUCAUAAUCAAACUUCAUCCGGAGUUUGCUCUUUUCAAGUAGCUCCUCAUAGGGAUUCAGGUGUAUUUUGUGUCGUUCAAUAGCCAGCCAUUAUAAUGUCAUAUUCAGGUAUCUGUUUAUGCCUUAUGAAUUACGACUUGUUUAUGAUGAUAACAAAGCACACCACAUAAAUCUACACAGGCAUUUGCUGUAAGCAUUAGAAUGAGUGAUAGGAAAUUGGCCGUAAUCCUUGUUUUUGCUCUAGUUUAUCUGGGAGACCAAGCAAGGCAGAGUCUGUUUACAAUUAAGAGGAAGAACCUUAAUUACUAUUGGAGCACUUCUAAAGCUCAAUGCAGCAUUGCUGCUGAUUCAUGGUUGCCCUACUUGGAGCCUCGCCCGAGGACCAGAAGAACAGUAGGUCACACACGGGAACUGACUCCAAACUCGCUUCAUUCCGUUUGUUACAGAGUCCAGGAAUAAUGUGUUUGAUUAUAUAUAUGUAUUGGUUAUUGUUAUUUUUGUUACUUUGCUUCAUGAUUUAAUUUUUCCCAACUUUUUGUGUUUUUGAUUCGAUUCUUAAUUUUGUUUACGAUACACUGAUGAAUACUAUGAUGUGAGAUUAAUACUAAAGUGUUGCAUGUGACAGCGAUGCGUGUUAGGUCCUCAUAUGACCCAACCUGACCUGGUGAAUCCCAUGCUCCUCCCAUUUCCGCUCUGUUUGAAGUUUGCUUUAAUGCUAUGCUUAUGGACAGCGGGCCAUGCCAGAUCCGUAGUGGAAAGUCCUGUAAGGGGUAGAUUCAAGGUCUUCUAUCAGAGGCAGUGUGAUAUUGUUUUCCGCCAAACCAGAAAUCAAGGUCUUGGACAGCUCUUUUCUAUUUCAGGGAUCAGGGGGCUGUAUGUCUUCUGACAGUUACUUCUUUCAAGAUUAAUAGUUUUAUGAGAACCACGUGUCUUCCUCAACCAUGCUCUGUAUCAGUCAACAUUACCAGUAUCGCAGUGCUCUCCCGACAAGCAAAUGUUACCUUGCAUUGCAAUACGUGUGUCUGUGUGUUUGUAUGUGUAUGCGUGACUGUGUAUGCAUGAGUAUUUAUGCAUGAGUGUGUGUGUGUGUGUUGCUUUGUGCUUGUGCAUGUAUGUGUGCAUGGGUGAAUGUAAGUGCAUGCACGUCUGUGCGCAUGCGCGUGUGUGUGGCUACACUAGGUACAGCAAAGAAUGCAAUGUCGCUUAAGGUUUGGAUGGGCCUAUUCGAAUCCUAACAAAGCGUAUAAACUACGUGAACUUUGGGCUUGCGGCAAUCUCUCAGGCUUUCAUUGAUUCGACCAAUAUGAUUCAUAAUCAAAACGCCGCUCAACACAAUCUACUAUGCGGCCCUUGAUAAGCCCCAACAGAUGAUGUCAUCCAUCCAUCGCACCACAGGCCCUAGCUUGAGACGGAGUGUAGACUUAUUGAAAGGCAAAGGUGCUAACAAGCCUUGUGGUCUGACAAUCAGUGUACUGACCCCACUGAAACCUCAGUGCCAGACACUCAUAAAUGCAAUCCCUUAUUUCCACCCCCGGCGUCCAUGCCAGUUGGGCCUGGAAGUGGGUUUGUUUUGGGUGUACUUGCUAAUAUUUCAGCCCGAGCAACACUUUCCCCCUUUUUCUCAUAAGACUUCUGUUGGGCUUCCUGAAAUGUAUACGUAUUCCCACCUGUGGUCGUCUGUCAUGGGGUCGACCUGUUGAAAGCUGCAUAACAUGAGUC